rnacentral:rRNA from 1 species
AUUGAACGCUUGCAGCAGGCUUAACACAUGCAAGUCGAGCGAGCGGCGGACGGGUGAGUAAUGUCUGGGAAACUGCCUGAUGGAGGGGGAUAACUACUGGAAACGGUAGCUAAUACCGCAUACCAUCAGAUGUGCCCAGAUGGGAUUAGCUAGUAGGGGGGGUAAUGGAUCACCUAGGCGACGAUCCCUAGCUGGUCUGAGAGGAGGAUCCGCCACACUGGUACUGAGCCACGGCCCAGAUUCCUACGGGAGGCAGCCGUGGGUAAUAUUGCGCAAUGGGCGCAAUCCUGAUGCAGCCAUGCCGCAUGUAUGAAGAAGGCCUUCGGGUUGUAAAGUACUUUCAGUCGGAAGGCGUUACCGACAGAAGAAGCACCGGCUAACUCCGUGCCAGCAGCCGCGGUAAUAC